rnacentral:rRNA from 1 species
AACGGCCGUACCAUGCUGAAUAUACCGGUUCUCGUUAGAUCACCGAAGUCAAGCAUUAUUGGGCGCGGUCAAUACUUGGGUGGGUGACCAUCUGGGAACACUGCGUGCCGUU